GUCCGCCGCAAUUUCUAAUGAGCUAUUUGGACUUGUGGAGAGAGAGAGAGAGAGAGAAAUCGGAAAAUUUGAUUUCUGAGCCGGAACGGGAUUUAUCAGGCCGAGUUUAAAAAACCGGCAUGGAAGAAGAAGAAAAUUGUCGAUUAUUUUGUUCAUUAGGAGACUUUUUAAACAAACUUUCUAAAAUGUUUGGAGCGUAUAGUAGUACUGUAGUAAUAUAGCAGUCUAAGGUCUUUGUUAGAUUUCGUCUCGUUAUUUACGCUCGUUUUCCCUUCGAAUGUUUACGACUGCCUAUCUGACUAAUAUAGAAAGCAACAGGAACUUAUUUCUGGGGGAACUUGCAUAGAUCGAAGCCAUGUCGUUCGUCCAGGUUGUACCGACGACCAUCUGUAGGUAGAUGUUGUAAACAUGUCAACCUCUGUUGUCGUCUGUCGCCUAUAGAAAAUCGAUGGGCUCCUGUUGGCCGUAUUGAUUGCGAUUGUCAACGGUAUCUUUGUCAGAAGCGUCUUCCAGUUCGUCCAUCUAUACUUUAAUGUUUCGCCCGUUCGCGUUUGACAUGUUUAGAAAUGCUCUUUAGUCUCGAAAGAGUAAACAAAAUUAUAAUUUUGAUAUUAUAGAAAGCGCACUAGAGAGAUAAAGAGAGUGAAAGAUGGAGCACUUCUGCAACUAGCCGUCUUGGUUGUUAUUGCAUGUAACCUGUUGAUCAGACUUUCACGUUAGAGGAUUCAAGUAACCUAAUAUUUUUAUGGAUGCGGAAAUUCCGUACCGCAUUUUUGUAUAUUUUCAUAUUUCAUCGUCGCAUUGUAUUUUUAAUUCUUUCGCCUCCGAUGUCUUGCUUCAGACGGAAAUUUAAAUUUAUCGGUGUACUUAACCAUUGAAGAACGGAGAACCAUUUUUGCUUUCGGAAACUUCGAGGCUUGAAAUAUUUAUAGACAGGUCGAAGAGUUUCAUUUAGCGAGCGAGAGCGUAUGCCAAGUAGAUUUAAAUAUUACACAGUUUUCUGAAUUGUUUUUAGCCUUCUGGCGUAGUAGAAACAUCUGGUACGGCACGGUUAAACGUUCAAGCCCACGCAAAUGUUUCGAAGAAUUGGGAGGGGAAUAAAGCAGUUUUGUAUACUCCAAAAAGAAUUGGUCAUGCUCGCAUUUAUAAAGAACCAUUCCUCUACUUUGACAAAGCCGUUUUUGCCCAGUAGAUGCACAGCUAUUCGAUCAUUUACUGAUAGAGAUCGCCGAAAGAAUUUUUGUUUUACUGGUUUAUUUUACCUUCUUUCAGGAUUAGGCACAUGUUUUACUUUUUAAAAGACGAUGGCUAAGAUAUGAUGAAACGUUACUCUGACUCUCUCUCUCUCUCUUUCUCUUCGCUAGCAUCUGACAGCUGUGACUGCGGUCAAACGAAAAGAAAACACCCUCCACUGCAUUGCAGGAAGUUCAGCUAGAAGACUAGCAGUAUACAGAUGGUGAUUAAUGACUGUACACACACACACACAGCUAUCUGCUCGGUAAUAGCAGCUCGUAUUCUGGCGACAGAAAUUACUGUUCACAAGAGCGGUUAGAUCAUCCCAACUGUAAUCUUGGUAUCAGCAAAGUGGUAAAGUUGCUGGUUUUCCACUGCUCUACCAAAUAAACGAUGCUAUUCGACGUUAUAAGCUUCCAUUUCGUGACAUUUGCCCAGUUAUGUUAUCAAUACUAUAAUUCAAUGACAAUACUAAAAGAUCAUUCUUUUACUGGAUGAUAUCCUAUACAAAAGGGUUUUUAAUUUGGACUUAUAGCAGCUUAUCUAGAUGAUUCAU
rnacentral:lncRNA from 1 species